ACGUAGGGGGCAAGCGUUGUCCGGAAUCAUUGGGCGUAAAGCGCGUGUAGGCGGCUCGGUAAGUCUGCUGUGAAAGUCCAGGGCUCAACCCUGGGAUGCCGGUGGAUACUGUCGAGCUCGAGUCCGGAAGAGGCGAGUGGAAUUCCUGGUGUAGCGGUGAAAUGCGCAGAUAUCAGGAGGAACACCUAUGGCGAAGGCAGCUCGCUGGGACGUGACUGACGCUGAGACGCGAAAGCGUGGGGAGCAAACAGGA
rnacentral:rRNA from 1 species